GGCGAGAUGGCGACCAGUCUGAGGCGGUGGUUUUAAUCACCAGUCUCUCCGUAGGCGUGGGUUCGAAUCCCACUCUCGUCA
rnacentral:tRNA from 1 species